rnacentral:rRNA from 1 species
UAUGUGAUCGUCUCUCGCAUAUCAAUAAGCGGAGGAAAAGAAACUAACAAGGAUUCCCCUAGUAACGGCGAGUGAAGCGGGAAGAGCUCAAAUUUGAAAUCUUAAAGGGUUUCCCUUUACGAAUUGUAGUUUAAAGAAGUGUUUUCUGUUGAGGUUUUGGUAAAAGUUCUUUGGAAUAGGACAUCAUAGAGGGUGAGAAUCCCGUAUUUGACCUUUACUUUCAACUUUGUGAUACACUUUCAAAGAGUCGGAUUGUUUGGGAAUGCAGUCCAAAAUGGGUGGUAAAUUUCAUCUAAAGCUAAAUAUUGACGAGAGACCGAUAGCGAACAAGUACCGUGAGGGAAGGAUGAAAAGAACUUUGAAAAGAGAGUUAAACAGUACGUGAAAUUGUCAAAAGGGAAGCGUUUGACACCAGUGUUGUUUUUCUGAAAAUCAAUUAAAGAACUGUUUAUGCUAAGCUGUUUAGACUUUAUCAGCUAAUCUGUUUAGUUUUGAGCUUUUCUUUAAUGCACUUUUCAGUUAACAAGUCAACAUCAAUUUCUUUUGCUGUAAAAAAGCUUGAGGAAGGUGGCUUGAGAUUCGUCUUAAGUGUUUAUAGCCUCUUGCCUAUGCAGUCGGAGAGAUUGAGGUCUGCAGCGUAGAUCCUUCGGGGCUAAAUGCAUUUGUGCUAAGUUAUAGCAUUUUAUAGACAACUUGUUGACUAUGAUUUGUCUUGUAGCUUACUCGCUUAUGUUAUUUUACCUACGCUUAGGAUGUUGAUCUGUAGUGCGUGCGC